AUGACGGUAGCUCAGUCGGGUAGAGCAGCGAAUUCUUAAUUCGUAGGUCGCCGGUUCGAUUCCGGCACGUCGUU
rnacentral:tRNA from 1 species